UACGUAGGUGGCUAGCGUUGUCCGGAAUCAUUGGGCGUAAAGAGCGCGUAGGUGGCUUGCCAGGUCUGAUGUGAAAUCCUGGGGCUCAACCCCAGGCCUGCAUCGGAAACCGGCUUGCUCGAGUCUGGGAGAGGAGAGUGGAAUUCCUGGUGUAGCGGUGAAAUGCGUAGAUAUCAGGAGGAACACCGGUAGCGAAGGCGGCUCUCUGGAACAGUACUGACACUGAGGCGCGAAAGCUAGGGGAGCAAAC
rnacentral:rRNA from 1 species